rnacentral:tRNA from 1 species
AGGAAUAUAGCUCAGUGGUAGAGCACUUACUUAGCAUGUAUGAGGCUCUGGUUUGAAACCCCAGUACUGUUC